UACGAAGGGGGCUAGCGUUGUUCGGAAUUACUGGGCGUAAAGCGUAUGCAGGCGGAUCGUUAAGUCGGGGGUGAAAUCCCGAGGCUCAACCUCGGAACUGCCUUCGAUACUGGCGAUCUUGAGUCCGGGAGAGGUGAGUGGAACUCCGAGUGUAGAGGUGAAAUUCGUAGAUAUUCGGAAGAACACCAGUGGCGAAGGCGGCUCACUGGUCCGGUACUGACGCUGAGGUGCGAAAGCGUGGGGAGCAAACAGGG
rnacentral:rRNA from 1 species